rnacentral:rRNA from 1 species
UACGGAGGGUGCAAGCGUUAAUCGGAAUUACUGGGCGUAAAGCGCGCGUAGGUGGCUUGAUAAGCCGGUUGUGAAAGCCCCGGGCUCAACCUGGGAACAGCAUCCGGAACUGUCAAGCUAGAGUGCAGGAGAGGAAGGUAGAAUUCCCGGUGUAGCGGUGAAAUGCGUAGAGAUCGGGAGGAAUACCAGUGGCAAAGGCGGCCUUCUGGACUGACACUGACACUGAGGUGCGAAAGCGUGGGUAGCAAACAGG